rnacentral:lncRNA from 1 species
ACAAAGAUCUAACUCAUUAUUCAAAUUCACUGUCACAUUUCAAUGCUUUUCUCUUAUCAGUUGUUUUGUAUAUUGAUACAUUAGCACCACAAAACUGAUGAUUCCUCCACAUCAUGUCUCAAAAAACCAGGAAAGGAAGAAGGUGGACAAAAUGAACAGAAAAAGGAAACCACUUAUGAAGAUGAUAAUGAUUCUGUAAAUUAUGAAGAUGAUUUUGAGGACUAUGAAGAUGAUUUUGAGGAUGAAGAUGAUGAAGAGGAUGAAAGUAGCCAGAAUACAAAAAGUGAAAAAGAAGCAGAAGCAGGAUUACAGAAAGUUACUGUAACUAAGAGCUCAGAAGUAGAAGAGAUUCAGAAAGCAAUUAAUGCAGAAAAUGAACAGAUUAAAGCCUUCCUUCCCAACUCAAGAAAAAAUGAACAUCUUCCAAAAGAUCAUGAAAAAUAUCCAAGAAUAGAAAAGCAAGUUUCACUGGCUCAGUGUCCCACAUCUG